rnacentral:rRNA from 1 species
GACGAACGCUGGCGGCGUGCUUAACACAUGCAAGUCGAACGGUCUCCAUCCCGUGGCAACACGGGGGAAGAGAUAGUGGCGAACGGGUGAGUAACACGUGAGAAACCUGUCCUGGUCUCUGGGAUAACAGUCGGAAACAACUGCUAAUACCGGAUGCCGUCGGAGCGUCGCAUGGCGCGCUGACGAAAGGGUUACUGGAUCAGGAGGGUCUCGCGGCCUAUCAGCUUGUUGGUGGGGUAACGGCCUACCAAGGCAUCGACGGGUAGCUGGUCUGAGAGGAUGAUCAGCCACACUGGGACUGAGACACGGCCCAGACUCCUACGGGAGGCAGCAGUGGGGAAUCUUGCGCAAUGGGCGAAAGCCUGACGCAGCAACG